UUGAUCCUGGCUCAGGAUGACUUUUGGCGGCGUGCUUAACACAUGCAAGUCGAACGAACCUUCGGGUUAGUGGCGGACGGGUGAGUAACGCGUGAUAAUCUGCCCUCAGGAGGGGGAUAACGGCUGGAAACGGCCGCUAAUACCCCAUAUGCCGAGAGGUGAAACGAAAUUCGCCUGAGGAUGAGCCCGCGUCUGAUUAGCUAGUUGGUGGGGUAAAGGCCUACCAAGGCAUCGAUCAGUAGCUGGUCUGAGAGGAUGAUCAGCCACACUGGGACUGAGACACGGCCCAGACUCCUACGGGAGGCAGCAGUGGGGAAUUUUCCGCAAUGGGCGCAAGCCUGACGGAGCAACGCCGCGUGAGGGAUGAAGGCCUCUGGGCUGUAAACCUCUUUUCUCAAGGAAGAAGAACUGACGGUACUUGAGGAAUAAGCCACGGCUAAUUCCGUGCCAGCAGCCGCGGUAAUACGGGAGUGGCAAGCGUUAUCCGGAAUUAUUGGGCGUAAAGCGUCCGCAGGCGGCCUUGAAAGUCUGUCGUUAAAGCGUGGAGCUUAACUCCAUUUCGGCGGUGGAAACUACAAGGCUUGAGUGUGGUAGGGGCAGAGGGAAUUCCCGGUGUAGCGGUGAAAUGCGUAGAUAUCGGGAAGAACACUAGUGGCGAAGGCGCUCUGCUGGGCCAUAACUGACGCUCAUGGACGAAAGCUAGGGGAGCGAAAGGGAUUAGAUACCCCUGUAGUCCUAGCCGUAAACGAUGAACACUAGGUGUCGGGGGAAUCGACCCCCUCGGUGUCGUAGCUAACGCGUUAAGUGUUCCGCCUGGGGAGUACGCACGCAAGUGUGAAACUCAAAGGAAUUGACGGGGGCCCGCACAAGCGGUGGAGUAUGUGGUUUAAUUCGAUGCAACGCGAAGAACCUUACCAGGGUUUGACAUCCUGCGAAUCCCUUGGAAACUUGGGAGUGCCUUCGGGAGCGCAGAGACAGGUGGUGCAUGGCUGUCGUCAGCCCGUGUCGUGAGAUGUUGGGUUAAGUCCCGCAACGAGCGCAACCCACGUCUUUAGUUGCCAGCAUUUAGUUGGGCACUCUAGAGAGACCGCCGGUGAUAAACCGGAGGAAGGUGUGGAUGACGUCAAGUCAUCAUGCCCCUUACAUCCUGGGCUGCACACGUACUACAAUGCUACGGACAAAGGGUUGCAAACUCGCGAGAGCUAGCUAAUCCCAUAAACCGUGGCUCAGUUCAGAUCGUAGGCUGCAACUCGCCUACGUGAAGGAGGAAUCGCUAGUAAUCGCAGGUCAGCAUACUGCGGUGAAUACGUUCCCGGGCCUUGCACUCAACGCCCGUCA
rnacentral:rRNA from 1 species